AUAGCUGUCAAAAGAAUGGAGGCUGGUAUUGUUAGCAACAAAGCUUUGGAUGAAUUUCGAUCUGAAAUUGAUGUCCUCUCAAAAGUCCGGCAUCGACAUUUAGUGUCUCUACUGGGAUACUCUGUUGAAGGUAGUGAAAGAAUUCUGGUUUAUGAGUACAUGCCACAAGGUGCACUUAGUAGACAUCUUUUCCGCUGGAAAAACUUCAAGUUAGAGCCUCUCUCUUGGAAGAAAAGGCUUAAUAUUGCCUUAGAUGUUGCUAGAGGUGUGGAGUAUCUACACACACUAGCACAUCAGAGCUUCAUUCAUAGAGAUCUCAAAUCCUCAAAUAUCUUGUUGGGUGAUGAUUUCCGAGCAAAAGUAUCCGACUUUGGACUUGUGAAACUCGCUCCUGAUAAAGAGAAAUCUGUUGUCACCAGGCUGGCUGGAACUUUUGGAUAUCUGGCACCUGAAUAUGCUGUUACGGGUAAAAUCACCACGAAAGCUGAUGUAUUUAGCUUUGGUGUUGUGCUAAUGGAGUUGUUAACUGGGAUGAUGGCACUUGAUGAGGAUAGACCUGAGGAAAGCCAGUACUUGGUUUCGUGGUUCUGGAACGCCAAAUCCUCUAAAGAGAAGCUUAUGACAGUCAUUGAUCCAACUCUAGACGUGAAAGAUGAGAUAACCGAGAGCA
rnacentral:misc_RNA from 1 species